GACGAACGCUGGCGGCGUGCUUAACACAUGCAAGUCGAACGGAAAGGCCUGCUUUCCCUUGUGGAUUGCGGGUACUCGAGUGGCGAACGGGUGAGUAACACGUGAGUGAUCUGCCCCCAACUUGGGUAUAAGCCUGGGCAACUGGGGCUAAUUCCCGAUAGGACUGCAGGGUGGUGCCUGUGGUGGAAAACGAUUUUCUAGUGGUUGGGGAUGAGCGCGCGGCCUAUCAGCUUGUUGGUGGGGUAAUGGCCUACCAAGGCGGCGACGGGUAGCCGGCCUGGGAGGGUGGACGGCCACAUUGGGACUGAGAUACGGCCCAGACUCCUACGGGAGGCAGCAGUGGGGAAUAUUGCACAAUGGGCGGAAGCCUGAUGCAGCGACGCCGCGUGGGGGAUGACGGCCGUCGGGUUGUAAACUCCUUUCGACCGCGAGGAAGCCACCUGGUUGGAAGGGUGGUGACGGUAGUGGUAGAAGAAGCACCGGCUAACUACGUG
rnacentral:rRNA from 1 species